GGACGCAUAGCUCAGUGGUAGAGCAACCCGCUGCAGUCGGGUAGGUCACGUGUUCAACUCACGUUGGGUCCU